AACGAACGCUGGCGGCAGGCUUAACACAUGCAAGUCGAACGCCCCGCAAGGGGAGUGGCAGACGGGUGAGUAACGCGUGGGAACAUACCCUUUCCUGCGGAAUAGCUCUGGGAAACUGGAAUUAAUACCGCAUACGCCCUACGGGGGAAAGAUUUAUCGGGGAAGGAUUGGCCCGCGUUGGAUUAGCUAGUUGGUGGGGUAAAGGCCUACCAAGGCGACGAUCCAUAGCUGGUCUGAGAGGAUGAUCAGCCACAUUGGGACUGAGACACGGCCCAAACUCCUACGGGAGGCAGCAGUGGGGAAUAUUGGACAAUGGGCGCAAGCCUGAUCCAGCCAUGCCGCGUGAGUGAUGAAGGCCUUAGGGUUGUAAAGCUCUUUCACCGAUGGAGAUAAUGACGGUAGUCGGAGAAGAAGCCCCGGCUAACUUCGUGACAGCAGCCGCCGUAAAAC
rnacentral:rRNA from 1 species